AUUUUAUUGCUUUUACAAAUCACAUUCACUCACCAACUGAUAAACAUUUGAGUUGUUUGCACUAACUGGCUGUUAUAAAUAAUGCCAUGAAUGUGUGUAAGUACAAGUAUGGAUAUGUUAUCAUUUCUUUUGGGGAUGUUUAAAAAUGGAAUUACUGGAACAUAUGACAACUUUAUGUUUAACUUUUUGAGGAAACUAGCCAUCUGCACCAUUUCACAAUCCUAUCAGCAGUGUUUGAGCGUUUCAGUGUCUUCCUGUCUUUGUCAACACUUGGUACUGACCUACAUUUUCAGUGUAGCUAUCCUAGUGAGGGUGAGGUGAUAUAGUGUGCUUUUCCUUUGCCGUUCGUUCCCUAAUGACUGACGAUACAGAACAGAUGUUUAUAUGCAUGUAGGCCACUUGCACAUCCUCUUUGGGUCUGUCCCUGAAGAGUGAGUGGCUCUACCCAGUGGUAGAUCCCAGCCCUAUACCUCACCACCAGGAAGAAGGGGAACACUCUUUACUCAGUUCCAGCUCAGAAGACCUUCCAGGAGAGACUGCUGAUGGACCUAGUGAAGAUCAUAGGUCCCCCUGUGGCUAGGGAGAUGGGCACUACGGAGAAGGGAUGCUGCUAUUCUAGCCUAAACAUCACAACCACCACCAGGGCCAACCCUUCACCCAGUCUACCAUCCUUUCCCCAAGAUGCCCCCACUUGCUUUAAGGUGUUUCCUGCACUGCAGCACCCUGCUCAGUAAGCACCACCCCAGAGCUCUGUCCAGCAGGUAUGCCCAGCUCUGAGUCCAGAUCACAGGUCAGGUGUGGCGCCAAAGAACUACAUAACCAUGGCCUCCAUGUCACUGAGUUGCCUCUGCCCACUGAGGGAGGGAGAGAACCUGCCAACAUAGGACAUACACACUGGAUGCAUCCCACCUGUCCUCCACACAAUAGGGGGGGUUUGCUUGCCAGGCUAGCAAGGCUCAGAGAUCCGUCUGUUUGUGGAUCUAUUUCCCUGAGAGUGGAUUGAGCCCCUUAGACCAUCUCCAUGUGGCGGUUCCUCCUGAUAACGUCUUCCUGAAAGGAUAUUGAAGGGCGUUUCUUGGCUGGGGUCUCUACCAUCUCAUUGUUCAUAUACCACCUCAUUUUUGUUCAUGCAGUUUUAGAGGGUCUUGGGGGUAUUGUGGGGGAGGAAAGACCCUUAAAGUUUUCCUUCAGCUUUCCAUAAGUGUAAGGCAGGGAGUGCAUUAUUUAACAUCUAAUUGACAUUGACUCUAGACUGGGUGGAUUCUGUUGCCUUCUGGGAGGAGAGGACUUGGAGGAGCUUGAAGGAGCUGCAGGUUCCCAACCAGCAGGGAUGCAGACCAGCCAAGAGAGGUGAGAGCUCCAUGCACUGUCAGGAAAUUGGUCUACCAUGGAGAUGAGGGCACUGGGAAGGUGCCGAUGCCCAUGUCCAAGAUCUUCUGGUUCAAGGAACACAGACCUGGCUCAAACAAAACUCUGAGGAAAGGGAGUCCACGGACCAGGUUCUCAAAUGUUCCCUGGAUUCUAUGUUCUCCUGUCUCUCCUGCUCUGCCAUCCAGCUGAGAGAAGGGUGCCCUUGCCUCCCUGGAAAUACCUGGAAUGGACAAAGGCCCUGAGCUGGGGUGACGUUCUGUCAUGGGCAGCCCUCACUGGAACCCCUGACUGGGUGCCCACCACACUUAGCUUCUAAUGCCAGCAGCUAGCCAUGCAAGGAUGUUGACUUAUCCAUGCUCCUGUAUCUCUAGGUUCUGAAUGCAUUCCUUUUUCCCUUCUGCACUCAUAGCAUGACCAGAACCCCAGGAUGUGACUUGUGGACCCCAGGAAACCACUCAGCUCUUGCCUUUUAUUAUCCUUGUUGCCACCAACAGAGUAAAUUUGUUUGGCACAGAUACACUACCAUUUUCCCAAUGCCAUGAGAACUGUUGAAUUUCACAAAGUACCAUUCACUCUAAGUCAUCAUUUAAGCCAUACUGGUUAUGUAUCACUCUGUGUGCUUUCUCAGGAGAUGAUGAAUGUCAUAUUGGACUGCUCAAAACUUUCAGAAAAAUGGGAGCCCCUUCUUUCUGAUUCUCAUGGAGCUGUCCAGUCAUUUUCUGCUGCAAGAUGACCAGGCCACACAAGGGAACUUUUCCUAAAUAGCAUAGCCUGUUUCCUAAAUAAAAGUUCUAAAGAAGAGGA